rnacentral:lncRNA from 1 species
AGUCGGUAAACUGAAGAAUGUCAGAUGUCAUUAUUAUUUAAUUCCCAAGUUGUGAGCUUCUUGUCCUAAUAGAUUCAAUUAUAUUCUAUACCUGAUUAAGCAUUAUUGUAAGUUAAUUUAAAACUUACAAAACAAGGAAACCGAAAGUAAUCGUGGUAACCCUGACAAUUUGAAGAGUGUAUGGGAGGGGAGAGCAGCUUAGCUGUCUUGAUGUUUCAUUACAUUUGCUGUUAACAGCUCUGAGAGAGUUGGGAUGGAAGUAAGCACUAAUACCACCCCUUAUAUUAUAGGUAGAACAAAGGACUACUAGAAAUUCUUUGGUAGAAUUAAAUGACUCAAGAGUCCUUCAGGAAGAACAUAGGAAGUAAUUACUCCUUUAUUCAAAUCUGAGUCCAACUAUGACUUACAAGUUUGAAGUUACAAAUAUAACUCCCCAAAAAUUCAUUAGUGUUACUCUGCUUCUUUCAUAAUCACAAUCAAAUGUUCAAUCCGACUCUAUUUCUAUCAAUUAUGUAUAGGAUGAAAAGCUUGUCAAAUGUUCAAAUAAGAUGAAAAUGACCCUGCGUGGAUCAUUGGUGUUUUGUCCUAUAAUGGUAAUGCUCUGAACAAAGGCACAGAGAGAGUUGAUUCUAUGGAUUAACAAUCUGCUGUUUAUCUUAAAUAUUAUAUAUUAUUUUUUCUUAAUUGCAAAAUUGUUAUUGGCAAGAAUCGGAUUCAAUAUUAUGAAGAACAUCAAAAAUAACUUCAUUGCCUUUGUCAAGACUAACAAAAUUAUAAACACGUUAUUUAAAUUUAUCUUCAUGUCACAACAUAUUUACCAGAGUUUGAUAAAAACAUAAAUGAUAUUUUUUA